rnacentral:rRNA from 1 species
AACGAACGCUGGCGGCAUGCCUAACACAUGCAAGUCGAACGCGUGGCUACGGCCACGAGUGGCGCACGGGUGAGUAACGCGUGGGAACCUGCCCGGCAGUACGGGACAACCGCGGGAAACUGCGGCUAAUACCGUAUGAGCCCUGAGGGGGAAAGAUUUAUCGCUGUCGGAGGGGCCCGCGUCGGAUUAGGUAGUUGGUGGGGUAACGGCCUACCAAGCCUGCGAUCCGUAGCUGGUCUGAGAGGAUGAUCAGCCACACUGGGACUGAGACACGGCCCAGACUCCUACGGGAGGCAGCAGUGGGGAAUAUUGGACAAUGGGGGAAACCCUGAUCCAGCAAUGCCGCGUGAGUGAUGAAGGCCUUAGGGUUGUAAAGCUCUUUCGCACGCGACGAUGAUGACGGUAUCCGGAGAAGAAGCCCCGGCUAACUUCGUGCCAGCCGCCGCCGUAACAC